ACUACCGUGCCUGUUGCUUAACCCUAAGAAGUGAUUUUUAUGGUUACAGAGGAGAACACAUCAGAGGGGGUUGCUGUUCACCCAAGAGCUGACACAGGAGCAGCUGCUGCUUUCUUAUAAGUCAAGUUGAUUCCGGGUGAGACCCUGGGAAGAGAGCCGACCUAGGAACAGAACGCAGCAAGGAAGACCAAGAGAGGGACCCGGCCCUCAAAGAUCACUGUCUUACAGGGAGACUCACCCGCCAAAUCAUCCCAAAGGCACAGUAAAGGUGAUGGGGUGCUAGCCAGGGCAGCGCAGCAGCAGAACCCAGACAGCCCUGGGGUGCCUGCGGUUGGCUGGGCUGCCCGUCUGCUCAUUUCCAGUUUUGCCCCUCGUAGCUGAACUCUGCUGGGAAACAGCCAGGGAGGUCCGUCCUCUCCUCAAGUUUCUUGGACUGUUGGAUGACUGACCCCUCCGCCCAGAAGCUGUAGCUUUCCAGUGCCACAAGAACUCCGUAGUCCCCCUCUUAUUUCAGGCUCCCGCCCCUUUCUGGAGGCUAACCAAGGUACCUCCUCUCCCUUCCCAGCCUUGGCUGAAACCUGUCCUAACAAAAUCCUGCCCACAGUUUCUGCCUCUCUAGGCCAUUCUCCCUGCUGCUGCCAGAGGAUCUAAGAUGCUAAUCUGAUCAUGCUUCAAAACUUGUACUUACUCCCUGUGGCCCUGAGAGUCAUGUGUCCCCAAGAUCGUUCGGUGCGGUCCCGCCUUACCUCUCCUGCCUGGCCACUGCAUACACUAUUGAGCCAACCAUGUGGACAUGGCUAUCGUUCUGGGUGUGAGUCACGCCCUGGUGCUGGUCUGUUUGCAGGAAUUGGCUUUCUCCCCCAAACAUCCUUUACGAUCCAGCUGGGAUGUUCCACUUUUGGAGCCUAAGCCAGGCAAGCUUUUGGAAGACUUGAUUGGGAGGACCACGGGGUGGUCCAGUGACCAAGCUAACAGUCCAGUGAGGUCUCCUCGCCUUGCAGGUGAGUGCACAGAGGCCGGAAAGCUUGCCCACCGUCCCGAGAUGGUCCGCGGCACAGCCGGCGCGAGGCCCAGCUCUGUCUGACUCUGGUGUUGGUGCUUCCCCCCAUACUCCGUCUGCUGUUCCUGAACCAGACUUUUCAUGUUCUUUACGUCCAGGCCUUGGCCACACGCACUGAUAGUUUUUGCCUAACCAGAGUCCCGACACAAUGAGAAUGGUAACCUGGAUUACUGUCCGAACUGAACUUCAUAGCAAAACACACACCCGGUUCCUCACCAAGUCCUGUGGAAUCAACCCCCAAAUACGUGCCUGAUCUGUAAUCCACCUUCCUUCAGCUCUGCCUUAUUUUUUGCCUGAGCUUCUGCUGAGCCUCUUAACCGGUCUCCAUGUCUUUACUCCUGCCCCCUUCUUACCUCUCCUCCCAGCAACCAGGCUGAUCUUUGAAAAGGGUAAACGAGAUCCUAGCAUUCCCCGCCUGCCAGUGCACUUGGACAAAUCCAGAGCCUGAGCCAGGACUCGGGCCCCCGUAUCCUUCUCCCACCUUGUCUUGUGACUCUUGAAACUCACCAUGUUCGAACCACCCUGACCUUCCAGUUCCUCCCAACUUCCCGCUUCUUGCCCAGCUCAGAGCCUCUGAUGUCCCCUCCGCCUGGGACCUCG
ensembl:lncRNA